AGUGAACGCUGGCGGUAGGCCUAACACAUGCGAGUCGAACGGCAGCACAGUAAGAGCUUGCUCUUACGGGUGGCGAGUGGCGGACGGGUGAGGAAUACAUCGGAAUCUACUUUUUCGUGGGGGAUAACGUAGGGAAACUUACGCUAAUACCGCAUACGACCUACGGGUGAAAGCAGGGGAUCUUCGGACCUUGCGCGAUUGAAUGAGCCGAUGUCGGAUUAGCUAGUUGGCGGGGUAAAGGCCCACCAAGGCGACGAUCCGUAGCUGGUCUGAGAGGAUGAUCAGCCACACUGGAACUGAGACACGGUCCAGACUCCUAUGGGAGGCAGCAGUGGGGAAUAUUGGACAAUGGGCGCAAGCCUGAUCCAGCCAUACCGCGUGGGUGAAGAAGGCCUUCGGGUUGUAAAGCCCUUUUGUUGGGAAAGAAAAGCAGCAGGUUAAUACCCCGCUGUUCUGACGGUACCCAAAGAAUAAGCACCGGCUAACUUCGUG
rnacentral:rRNA from 1 species